UACAGAGGUCCCAAGCGUUGUUCGGAUUCACUGGGCGUAAAGGGUGCGUAGGCGGCUUGUCGCGUCGACUGUGAAAUCCCGCGGCUCAACUGCGGGUCUGGCAGUCGAUACGGGCAGGCUAGAGUUCGGGUAGGGGGAGACUGGAAUUCCUGGUGUAGCGGUGAAAAUGCGCAGAUAUCAGGAGGAACACCGGUGGCGAAGGCGGGUCUCUGGGCCGAUACUGACGCUGAGGAGCGAAAGCCAGGGGAGCAACGGG
rnacentral:rRNA from 1 species